rnacentral:tRNA from 1 species
GCGGAUGUAGCCAAGUGGAUCAAGGCAGUGGAUGUGAAUCACCACGCGCGGUUUCAAUUCCCGUCGUUCGCC